rnacentral:rRNA from 1 species
UACGUAGGGGGCAAGCGGUUGUCCGGAAUCAUUGGGCGUAAAGAGCGCGUAGGCGGCCCUGUAAGUCCGCUGUGAAAGUCAAGGGCUCAACCCUUGGAUGCCGGUGGAUACUGCAGGGCUAGAGUCCGGAAGAGGCGAGUGGAAUUCCAGGUGUAGCGGUGAAAUGCGUAGAUAUCUGGAAGGAACACCGGUGGCGAAGGCGGCAUCCUGGACCGGUAUUGACGCUGAGGCGCGAAAGCUAGGGAGCAA